rnacentral:lncRNA from 1 species
AAAAAAAACAGAGCUUUAAACACCUUUCAAAUGUGUUUAAAUAAAAAUAACUGAUUAUUUGUGGAAAGCUGUAUUUUUCUAUUUUUGAUGUAGAGCAGUUUUAAUCUAAUCUUCUUAAGAAAUGCAAAACCUAUUACAUUUUGCUUAGGCAAUGAAUAAAAUUUCAAAGCAGCUGUUCAAGUCUAACCUAUCAGUUUAAUUAUAACAUACAACCUUCCAGUGCCAAAUUUCAAGGCCUAAAAGAAAUACACCACUCUAUUUUGACUAAUACUUAGUUGAUUUGAUUGACAUGGGUCAUUUUUACUCACUUACCUUUUGCAUCAGGAAACCUACUUUUCAAUAUUCC